rnacentral:rRNA from 1 species
GGCGAACGGCUGAAUAACACGUGGGCAACCUGCCCUUUGCACUGGGAUAGCCUCGGGAAACCGAGGUUAAUACCGGAUACUCCAUAUUUGUCGCAUGGCGAAUAUGGGAAAGCUCCGGCGGCAAAGGAUGGGCCCGCGGCCUGUUAGCUAGUUGGUGGGGUAGUGGCCUACCAAGGCAAUGAUGGGUAGCCGGGUUGAGAGACCGACCGGCCAGAUUGGGACUGAGACACGGCCCAGACUCCUACGGGAGGCAGCAGAU